UCUCUCUCCUCUCCUCUCUUCUCUCCUCUCUUCUCUCUCUCAUUCAUCUUGCCUUCAUCUAUCAUCGCCAGAGACAAUAACCACCACCACAAUCAUGUCCACCAGGUUUUGAUGUCAACGUUCUACACCUUUUGAUCUCCUUUUAGUUUCAAUUUCAAGUUUCAUCUAAACCCUAAUUGAAUCUUCGAUUAUCGAUUUUCUGACAACAUGAGGCGGUGGUGGAGGUGCGGAUGGACGCCGCUAUGGAAGCGAUGGGUUUCGGUAGGUCGAGACUGAUCGGAGGUUAGGGUUGACGUUUCCUUGCCGCCGUCGCCAUCGGAGUUCAGUGAGUUGUGGCUGCAACUCUUGCAUCUCUCAUUUUCUCGAUGCGCUUUGCUAUGGAAUCAACAGCAUGAAGACCCACUCUGAUGCGCUGAGUGCAGAUCUUUAACAGCUACAGGUGUGUUUGGUUCAACCAAAGUCAGAAAUCGAACUUCAGUUUGAAUCGACUAAAUUGAGCACUCAUUGGGGCUAUCUUAGUGCAAUAGCCUUGGGACAACUUUUGGAACAAUUGCUUUGACAAGUGGUUUCUUUGUCAAGCCUGGUGCAACAUUCGGUGACUACCUGGCUAAGAUACACGAGAGAACAAUGAAUUAGAGGCAACACGAUCAACUCCUCAUUGGUAAUAUUCCGAUGUUGAAGUUUUUGGGAUCUUUAGUUGAACUAAUGUUGUAUUUAGUUAUGAAAUAAGAUGUUUUAGUAUUCUCUUCACUUAUAUCAACUAUUGUUUUCAAACCGUGA